rnacentral:ncRNA from 2 species
UGAACUGGCUAGGGGUGGCCGCCAGGCCUGAGAGUUCGCUCGAACAACCCUUGGAACCUGAUCCGGGUCAUGCCGGCGGAGGGAAGCAAGCGUUGCAAGAA